rnacentral:misc_RNA from 1 species
GAAAUGCGAUAAGUAGUGUGAAUUGCAGAAUUUAGCGAAUCAUCGAAUCUUUGAACGCACAUUGCGCCCCUUGGUAUUCCAUGGGGCAUGCCUGUUCGAGCGUCAUUUCAACCCUCAAGCACUGCUUGGUGUUGGGCGUUUGUCCCGCCUACGCGCGUGGACUCGCCUCAAAGUCAUUGGCGGCUGUUCCCUUUCGGCUCGUAAGCGCAGCACAGUCGGCGCCUGGAGCUCUGGUGGGAUGGCGUCCAGCAAGCUAUAUUUUCAGGCUUGACCUCGGAUCAGGUAGGGAUACCCGCUGAACUUAAGC